rnacentral:lncRNA from 1 species
UUGUGAUUUCUCAUGUCGACUCCUUUUUGCUUAUCUUUUUACUCAUCCUUAGGAGACCAUAAACAUUUAGGUUAAUUUUGAUUAAAAAAAAAUUCGACAAUUUAGAAGCCAUGCGACUAUGUAUAUAACCGAUAAUGUGUACAUUAACCACAAGCAAAAGGCGAUAAAAUUCUAGUAAACGGUGGGUUUAAAUUCUAAACAGUGGUUGAUACAUUAGUCUUCUUAUCGUCUUCUAAAAGGGCAUGGGGACAAAACAUAGCUUGGCUUAGACCGGUCAUCAGCUACUUGUCUGGUGAAAAAGUUGAUUGCUCCGCAUACAGCAGAAACCCUCUAGCUAAGUGAAGAGUACGUAAGAUUUAGUCUAGCUAAUGAAUUUUCAAUCUUCUCUCGUUGGAGAUUUACAACUGUUGUUUAUAUUCUCGUUG